CACGCCGUAAACUAUGGGUGCUAGGUGUAGGAGGUAUCGACCCCUUCUGUGCCGUAGUUAACACAAUAAGCACCCCGCCUGGGGAGUACGGCCGCAAGGUUGAAACUCAAAGGAAUUGACGGGGGCCCGCACAAGCGGUGGAGCAUGUGGUUUAAUUCGACGCAACGCGAAGAACCUUACCAGGGUUUGACAUCCCCUGACAGCUGUUGAAAGACAGUUUUCUGACUUCGGUUAGACAGGGAGACAGGUGG
rnacentral:rRNA from 1 species